CAUAUCAAUAAGCGGAGGAAAAGAAACUAACAAGGAUUCCCCUAGUAACUGCGAGUGAAGCGGGAAAAGCUCAAAUUUAAAAUCUGGCAGUCUCUGACUGUCCGAGUUGUAAUCUAGAGAAGCGUUAUCCGCGCUGGACCGUGUACAAGUCUCCUGGAAUGGAGCGUCAUAGAGGGUGAGAAUCCCGUCUUUGACACGGACUGCCAGGGCUUUGUGAUGCGCUCUCAAAGAGUCGAGUUGUUUGGGAAUGCAGCUCAAAAUGGGUGGUAAAUUCCAUCUAAAGCUAAAUAUUGGCGAGAGACCGAUAGCGAACAAGUACCGUGAGGGAAAGAUGAAAAGAACUUUGGAAAGAGAGUUAAACAGUACGUGAAAUUGCUGAAAGGGAAACGCUUGAAGUCAGUCGCGUUGGCCAGGGAUCAACCUUGCUUUUGCUUGGUGUACUUUCUGGUUGACGGGUCAGCAUCAAUUUUGAUCAUUGGAAAAAGGUCGAGGGAAUGUGGCAUCUUUGGAUGUGUUAUAGCCCUUGGUUGCAUACAAUGGUUGGGAUUGAGGAACUCAGCACGCCGCAAGGCCGGGUUUUUAACCACGUACGUGCUUAGGAUGCUGGCAUAAUGGCUUUAAUCGACCCGUCUUGAAACACGGACCAAGGAGUCUAACAUGCCUGCGAGUGUUUGGGUGGAAAACCCGAGCGCGCAAUGAAAGUGAAAGUUGAGAUCCCUAUCGUGGGGAGCAUUGACGCCCGGACCAGACCUUUUGUGACGGUUCCGCGGUAGAGCAUGCAUGUUGGGACCCGAAAGAUGGUGAACUAUGCCUGAAUAGGGUGAAGCCAGAGGAAACUCUGGUGGAGGCUCGUAGCGAUUCUGACGUGCAAAUCGAUCGUCAAAUUUGGGUAUAGGGGCGAAAGACUAAUCGAACCAUCUAGUAGCUGGUUCCUGCC
rnacentral:rRNA from 1 species